rnacentral:rRNA from 1 species
AUUGAACGCUGGCGGCAUGCCUUACACAUGCAAGUCGAACGGUAACAGGUCUUCGGAUGCUGACGAGUGGCGAACGGGUGCGUAAUACAUCGGAACGUGCCCGAUCGUGGGGGAUAACGAGGCGAAAGCUUUGCUAAUACCGCAUACGAUCUACGGAUGAAAGCGGGGGAUCUUCGGACCUCGCGCGGACGGAGCGGCCGAUGGCAGAUUAGGUAGUUGGUGGGAUAAAAGCUUACCAAGCCGACGAUCUGUAGCUGGUCUGAGAGGAUGAUCAGCCACACUGGGACUGAGACACGGCCCAGACUCCUACGGGAGGCAGCAGUGGGGAAUUUUGGACAAAGGGCGAAAGCCUGAUCCAGCCAUGCCGCGUGCAGGAUGAAGGCCUUCGGGUUGUAAACUGCUUUUGUACGGAACGAAAAGCCUCUUUCUAAUAAAGAGGGGUCAUGACGGUACCGUAAGAAUAAGCACCGGCUAACUACGUG